rnacentral:misc_RNA from 1 species
UGGAUGCUCCCAGUUAGG